rnacentral:rRNA from 1 species
GAUGAACGCUAGCGGCAGGCCUAACACAUGCAAGUCGAGGGGUAACAGAAGAGCUUGCUCUUGCUGACGACCGGCGCACGGGUGCGUAACGCGUAUACAAUUUGCCUUAUACUGGAGGAUAGCCCGGAGAAAUUCGGAUUAAUACUCCAUAACAUCAUGAAUUCGCAUGUUUUUAUGAUUAAAGCUUCGGCGGUAUAAGAUGAGUAUGCGUCCUAUUAGUUUGUUGGUGAGGUAACGGCUCACCAAGACUACGAUAGGUAGGGGGCCUGAGAGGGUUAUCCCCCACACUGGUACUGAGACACGGACCAGACUCCUACGGGAGGCAGCAGUGAGGAAUAUUGGUCAAUGGAGGCAACUCUGAACCAGCCAUGCCGCGUGAAGGAAGAAUGUCCUACGGAUUGUAAACUUCUUUUAUUUGGGAAGAAACCUUUCUACGUGUAGAAAGCUGACGGUACCAAACGAAUAAGGACCGGCUAACUCCG